GACGAACGCUGGCGGCGCGCUUAACACAUGCAAGUCGAACGGAAAGGCCUGCUUUCCCUUGUGGAUUGCGGGUACUCGAGUGGCGAACGGGUGAGUAACACGUGAGUGAUCUGCCCCCAACUUGGGUAUAAGCCCGGGAAACUGGGUCUAAUUCCCGAUAGGACUGCAGGGUGGUGCCUGUGGUGGAAAACGAUUUUCUAGUGGUUGGGGAUGAGCUCGCGGCCUAUCAGCUUGUUGGUGGGGUAAUGGCCUACCAAGGCGGCGACGGGUAGCCGGCCUGAGAGGGUGGACGGCCACAUUGGGACUGAGAUACGGCCCAGACUCCUACGGGAGGCAGCAGUGGGGAAUAUUGCACAAUGGGCGGAAGCCUGAUGCAGCGACGCCGCGUGGGGGAUGACGGCCUUCGGGUUGUAAACUCCUUUCGACCGCGAGGAAGCCACCUGGUUGGAAGGGUGGUGACGGUAGUGGUAGAAGAAGCACCGGCUAACUACGUG
rnacentral:rRNA from 1 species